UCUUACCUGUGAUUUGUCACAGUGAAGGAGUCCGGGUCCUUGUAUCACUUCGCAGUGGUUCGCACUCAGCCAGUGUUAUUUCCGCGACUUCUCACCGUAUGAUAAAGUUACACUUGUUCACACAGAAAAUUGCAUCCCAACAAAACUGUCGUUAGCAAGUACCCGAACUAAAUUUCAGUCACUCAGUAAAGCGAUAAUUCAAAAUAUCAUUGUCUACAGAUCUGGAGAAAUUGCCAAUGCGUCUUUAGACUGUCUUUGUCAGACGAGAGGUAAAUGUCUGCAGUUGUGGCAUGUGUUGUAAUCUCCACACCACAGUAACACAAUAUGCUGUUAGAGAAACCAAAACAAAAUGGCUCAGACUAUUGAUGAAGUGGGGUAACAUGUGGUACUCUUUUCCCCAAAUUUGAGGGAGCACAAUGCUGCUGCAACAAUCCAUGCUGAGGUUUGAAGUGCACAGCAACAAUGCACCAUCGUAUGACACUGAGGUUAGGUGACACACUCACUUCCACUGUGGUAAAACAAGUGUGAGUGACAAAGAAGAAAGUGCCAGACCAUGUCUCUGUGAAGAAUCAGGAAUUGCAGAAGUGGAGGCUCUGCAGCUUGAAGGCUGGCAUAUCACAAUUGAGACUUUACUUAACUGAGUCCAAGGAAAGUCCAAUAAGUUUCUGGUUCAAUAUGAGUGCACAUCUGAUGUACUUUCAAACAUAUGAACAUUCUGUUCGGCAUGUGUAAGUAAAUCUGGGGACUGUAAACAGGUAAUGGACUGUCACGACCGGCAUGUCUCCUAGUGUACUGGCUUACCGUUGGUGAAGUAACAUUGGCUCGAGUAGAAUUCACAUGUACAAAUGUGAGAAUGGACAGUAAAGGAAGUAUGCAAAGUUUUUGUGUAUAUAGGAUUUCAUACUCUACUUCCAGAAUUAUAUGAUCAGUGUGAUGUAUUUGGUUGUAUAUUAUGAUUAA